UACGAAGGGGGCUAGCGUUGUUCGGAAUUACUGGGCGUAAAGCGUGCGCAGGCGGCUUCUCAAGUCAGGGGUGAAAGCCCAGAGCUCAACUCUGGAAUUGCCUUUGAGACUGAGUGGCUUGAGUACGAGAGAGGUGAGUGGAAUUCCCAGUGUAGAGGUGAAAUUCGUAGAUAUUAGGAAGAACACCAGUGGCGAAGGCGGCCCACUGGAUCGGUACUGACGCUGAGGUGCGAAAGCGUGGGAGCAAACAGG
rnacentral:rRNA from 1 species